UUUGGUGGGGGGAUAAAAGCCCCACACAAGACAAUGGUGCCUUGCCGGAGUGAGAGACUUGUUCGCCCCACUUGGGGAAUGAGACCCCGCCCCAAAUCUCUUGGGGAAGGCUGCAGUAGGGAAUCUUCCCACAAUGGGCGAAAGCCUGAUGGAGCAACGCCGCGUGUGUGAUGAAGGCUUUCGGGUCGUAAAGCACUGUUGUAUGGGAAGAACAGCUAGAAUAGGAAAUGAUUUUAGUUUGACGGUACCAUACCAGAAAGGGACGGCUAAAUACGUGCCAGCAGCCGCGGUAAUACGUAUGUCCCGAGCGUUAUCCGGAUUUAUUGGGCGUAAAGCGAGCGCAGACGGUUUAUUAAGUCUGAUGUGAAAGCCCGGAGCUCAACUCCGGAAUGGCAUUGGAAACUGGUUAACUUGAGUGCAGUAGAGGUAAGUGGAACUCCAUGUGUAGCGGUGGAAUGCGUAGAUAUAUGGAAGAACACCAGUGGCGAAGGCGGCUUACUGGACUGCAACUGACGUUGAGGCUCGAAAGUGUGGGUAGCAAACAGGAUUAGAUACCCUGGUAGUCCACACCGUAAACGAUGAACACUAGGUGUUAGGAGGUUUCCGCCUCUUAGUGCCGAAGCUAACGCAUUAAGUGUUCCGCCUGGGGAGUACGACCGCAAGGUUGAAACUCAAAGGAAUUGACGGGGACCCGCACAAGCGGUGGAGCAUGUGGUUUAAUUCGAAGCAACGCGAAGAACCUUACCAGGUCUUGACAUCCUUUGAAGCUUUUAGAGAUAGAAGUGUUCUCUUCGGAGACAAAGUGACAGGUGGUGCAUGGUCGUCGUCAGCUCGUGUCGUGAGAUGUUGGGUUAAGUCCCGCAACGAGCGCAACCCUUAUUGUUAGUUGCCAGCAUUCAGAUGGGCACUCUAGCGAGACUGCCGGUGACAAACCGGAGGAAGGCGGGGACGACGUCAGAUCAUCAUGCCCCUUAUGACCUGGGCUACACACGUGCUACAAUGGCGUAUACAACGAGUUGCCAGCCCGCGAGGGUGAGCUAAUCUCUUAAAGUACGUCUCAGUUCGGAUUGUAGUCUGCAACUCGACUACAUGAAGUCGGAAUCGCUAGUAAUCGCGGAUCAGCACGCCGCGGUGAAUACGUUCCCGGGUCUUGUACACACCGCCCGUCACACCAUGGGAGUUUGUAAUGCCCAAAGCCGGUGGCCUAACCUUUAGGAAGGAGCCGUCUAAGGCAGGACAGGAUAGUCGGA
rnacentral:rRNA from 1 species